rnacentral:lncRNA from 1 species
CCCAGGUGUCUCAGGGAGAAUGGGCUUCGGGGAAUAGGCUUGCCUGCUUCAUCUCCUGACUCCUUUGCUAGGCACUUUGAUCCGGUUUUCCAGUUCUUGCACAAGCAAGUUUGUGUCAGCCACGCCCUGGGGAGGAUCCACUGGAUCACCGCCGUCACUGCCUGUUCCCGGCGGCCUCUCCGGCUUCCCUAAAGAGAGCAGGUGGGACUUUCUACAACGCUGCUGUGCACGACGUGGAUGCCGUAUGCAUGUUGCUGGGGGAAGCCACUCCGGACACUGUGUUUUCUCUGGGACAUGUCUUCUGCCCAGAUGAAAACUCAGCCUGUAAUCAGUCUGAUUGGUGUGAACAGCGACCAUUCAGAGGCUGGAGUGAGUGAAGUUACAAAGUUGCAAAGGAAGACUUGACCCACAAUCAGUCUGAUUUGUUGCAGACAGCCAGUUUCCCAUCUGCCAGGCAGAAAACAUAUGGCCGCCUUAAAAGAUGCAGAUGCUGUUGUGAUCAGCAUGAAGUUUCCCUGUGAGGCCGUGGUUAGCGUGGACAUCAGCCAGCACUGCACAGACAGCUGCGACCAGGACGUCAGCCAGCACUGCACAGACAGCUGCGACCAGAGACUGGAGGUGACCCUUGCCCUUUUCCACCCUUCGCCAGUCCACUGUGAAAAGCUGGGUUGAUUGUGCGGGUUAGAUAGAGGUCAUCAGCCGGGUUGAUUGUGU